GAGAGCCGUGUGAUGGGUGACUAUCCAGCACGGUUCGGAGAGCACUUUUAAGACUUUUGGAGCUUUGGCUUUGGUUUGGACCUGUACUAGUCCGAGAAGUGAGAGCACCAGGUUGGAAGAUGCUGGUUCGAGAGGACCUGGAAAAAUGCUAGUAAGAAGGAGGCUAGUUUGCUAGGUUGUAGAUCUUCUCCCUUAUUCUUUAU
rnacentral:ncRNA from 1 species